AGGGAAGGCCUUGAUAUUUGUGGGUGCCAAGGUGAAUGGUGUGGACACUAAGGCAUUGCUGGAUAGUGGGGCAAAUCAAAACCUCAUUUCGGUGGAGGAAGCUGCCAGGUUAGGCCUGAAGGUGGCCAAGGAGCCUGGAUGCAUGAAGGCAGUAGACCAGCCUGCCAAACCUCUUUUUGGUGUUGCUCAUGGUGUGCCCUUACAGCUUGGAAAUUGGGUAGGCACCGUUGAUUUGA
rnacentral:misc_RNA from 1 species